AGUGAACGCUGGCGGUAGGCCUAACACAUGCAAGUCGAACGGCAGCACAGUAAGAGCUUGCUCUUACGGGUGGCGAGUGGCGGACGGGUGAGGAAUACAUCGGAAUCUACUUUUUCGUGGGGGAUAACGUAGGGAAACUUACGCUAAUACCGCAUACGACCUACGGGUGAAAGCAGGGGAGCUUCGGACCUUGCGCGAUUGAAUGAGCCGAUGUCGGAUUAGCUAGUUGGCGGGGUAAAGGCCCACCAAGGCGACGAUCCGUAGCUGGUCUGAGAGGAUGAUCAGCCACACUGGAACUGAGACACGGUCCAGACUCCUACGGGAGGCAGCAGUGGGGAAUAUUGGACAAUGGGCGCAAGCCUGAUCCAGCCAUACCGCGUGGGUGAAGAAGGCCUUCGGGUUGUAAAGCCCUGUUGUUGGGAAAGAAAAGAAGCAGGUUAAUACCCCGCUGUUCUGACGGUACCCAAAGAAUAAGCACCGGCUAACUUCGUG
rnacentral:rRNA from 1 species